UAGGUGGCAAGCGUUAUCCGGAUUUACUGGGUGUAAAGGGCGUGUAGGCGGGAAAGCAAGUCAGAUGUGAAAACCAUGGGCUCAACCUAUGGCCUGCAUUUGAAACUGUUUUUCUUGAGUACUGGAGAGGCAGACGGAAUUCCUAGUGUAGCGGUGAAAUGCGUAGAUAUUAGGAGGAACACCAGUGGCGAAGGCGGUCUGCUGGACAGCAACUGACGCUGAGGCGCGAAAGCGUGGGGAGCAAAC
rnacentral:rRNA from 1 species